GGACCAUUUUGAAGGAAUUAGGACCGGUCUUUAGCUGCAGGACUGUCCUGUCGUCUCCUGAUGCUGCUGCAGCACGACUACCCUUCUCUCUCUGUGGUCCUCCAUGAAUUUUAGGAGAGAAAGGUGCCACUUGCUGCUGCCGGGCGGACGGUGUGAUGAAAGUGUCUGAAGUAUUGAGGAUCCUUCUCAUUGUAAAGAGUUUGGUGUUCAGCAAUGCAGAGUGUCCUGUUGUCUCCUGCUUUGUGGACGCACCAGCAGCUCUGACCUGUGGUUGUAACCUCCAGAUUCCACUGGAUGCCUGUCCACACGCUUAGGCAGAUUACAAUCACAUUGUAAUGACUGAAAGUAGCAUCUUAUCAUAUGAACGUCAUUCAGAUUUGAAAUACACUUGGCGCAGGCUUGUUUUAUCACUUCUUCAUAUUUCACAUUUCAUUUUCAUUCACCUCUUUUAUAAUUGUCUAUAAAGUGAAUUAUUACAAUUUACUUUAAAGAAAAAGGUGUGAAAGGGAUGUGAGCCACAAAGUAAUUUGCUACUUUUAUUGCGCCUU
rnacentral:lncRNA from 1 species